UGUUGAAGGGAUAAUAAGCCUUGCAGGAACUCGAGUGUUGACAAAAAAAAUUAGCCUACGAUUAUCUGAUCAACU
rfam:Zea mays cultivar B73 chromosome 6, whole genome shotgun sequence.